AGAGUUUGAUCAUGGCUCAGAUUGAACGCUGGCGGCAGGCCUAACACAUGCAAGUCGAGCGGUAACAGAAAGUAGCUUGCUACUUUGCUGACGAGCGGCGGACGGGUGAGUAAUGCCUGGGAAUAUGCCUUGAUGUGGGGGAUAACCAUUGGAAACGAUGGCUAAUACCGCAUAAUCUCUUCGGAGCAAAGAGGGGGACCUUCGGGCCUCUCGCGUCAAGAUUAGCCCAGGUGGGAUUAGCUAGUAGGUGAGGUAAUGGCUCACCUAGGCGACGAUCUCUAGCUGGUCUGAGAGGAUGAUCAGCCACACUGGAACUGAGACACGGUCCAGACUCCUACGGGAGGCAGCAGUGGGGAAUAUUGCACAAUGGGCGCAAGCCUGAUGCAGCCAUGCCGCGUGUGUGAAGAAGGCCUUCGGGUUGUAAAGCACUUUCAGUCGCGAGGAAGGCAGUUGCGUUAAUAGCGUAAUUGUUUGACGUUAGCGACAGAAGAAGCACCGGCUAACUCCGUGCCAGCAGCCGCGGUAAUACGGAGGGUGCGAGCGUUAAUCGGAAUUACUGGGCGUAAAGCGCAUGCAGGUGGUUAGUUAAGUCAGAUGUGAAAGCCCGGGGCUCAACCUCGGAAUUGCAUUUGAAACUGGCUAGCUAGAGUACUGUAGAGGGGGGGUAGAUUUCAGGUGUAGCGGUGAAAUGCGUAGAGAUCUGAAGGAAUA
rnacentral:rRNA from 1 species